GACGAACGCUGGCGGCGUGCCUAAUACAUGCAAGUAGAACGCUGAAGGAGGAGCUUGCUCUUCUGGAUGAGUUGCGAACGGGUGAGUAACGCGUAGGUAACCUGCCUGGUAGCGGGGGAUAACUAUUGGAAACGAUAGCUAAUACCGCAUAACAGUAGAUGUUGCAUGACAUUUGCUUAAAAGGUGCAAUUGCAUCACUACCAGAUGGACCUGCGUUGUAUUAGCUAGUUGGUGGGGUAACGGCUCACCAAGGCGACGAUACAUAGCCGACCUGAGAGGGUGAUCGGCCACUCUGGGACUGAGACACGGCCCAGACUCCUACGGGAGGCAGCAGUAGGGAAUCUUCGGCAAUGGACGGAAGUCUGACCGAGCAACGCCGCGUGAGUGAAGAAGGUUUUCGGAUCGUAAAGCUCUGUUGUAAGAGAAGAACGAGUGUGAGAGUGGAAAGUUCACACUGUGACGGUAUCUUACCAGAAAGGGACGGCUAACUACGUG
rnacentral:rRNA from 1 species